rnacentral:pre_miRNA from 15 species
CUUCAGUGAACAUUCAACGCUGUCGGUGAGUUUUUAGAUUUAAAAGAAACCAUCGACCGUUGACUGUGCCUUGAGG